rnacentral:rRNA from 1 species
AGAACGAACGCUGGCGGCAGGCCUAACACAUGCAAGUCGAACGCCGUAGCAAUACGGAGUGGCAGACGGGUGAGUAACACGUGGGAACAUACCCUUCGGUUCGGGAUAACUCAGGGAAACUUGAGCUAAUACCGGAUACGUCCGCGAGGAGAAAGAUUCAUCGCCGGAGGAUUGGCCCGCGUCCGAUUAGCUUGUUGGUGAGGUAACGGCUCACCAAGGCGACGAUCGGUAGCUGGUCUGAGAGGAUGAUCAGCCACACUGGGACUGAGACACGGCCCAGACUCCUACGGGAGGCAGCAGUGGGGAAUAUUGGACAAUGGGCGCAAGCCUGAUCCAGCCAUGCCGCGUGAGUGAUGAAGGCCUUAGGGUUGUAAAGCUCUUUCAUCAGGGACGAUAAUGACGGUACCUGAAGAAGAAGCCCGGCUAACUCGCGCCAGCAGCCGC